AGUCAACAUACCCAAAGGACGUGGAUACCCUCGGGAAACUGAGGAUAAACCGCGAUAGGCCAAGGUUUCUGGAAUGAGCCAUGGCCUAAAUCUAUAUGGCCUUUGGAUUGGACUGCGGCCGAUCAGGCUGUUGGUGAGGUAAUGGCCCACCAAACCUUUUACCGGUACGGGCUUUGAGAGAAGGAGCCCGGAGAUGGGCACUGAGACAAGGGCCCAGGCCCUAUGGGGCGCAGCAGGCGCGAAACCUCUGCAAUAGGCGAAAGCCUGACAGGGUUACUCUGAGUGAUGCCCGCUAAGGGCAUCUUUUGGCACCUCUAAAAAUGGUGCAGAAUAAGGGGUGGGCAAGUCUGGUGUCAGCCGCCGCGGUAAUACCAGCACCCCGAGUGGUUGGGACGAUUAUUGGGCCUAAAGCAUCCGUAGCCGGUUCUGCAAGUCCUCCGUUAAAUCCACCUGCUCAACAGAUGGGCUGCGGGGGAUACCGCAGAGCUAGGAGGCGGGAGAGGUAAACGGUACUCAGUGGGUAGGGGUAAAAUCCAUUGAUCCACUGAAGACCACCAGUGGCGAAGGCGGUUUGCCAGAACGCGCUCGACGGUGAGGGAUGAAAGCUGGGGGAGCAAACCGGAUUAGAUACCCGGGUAGUCCCAGCUGUAAACGAUGCAACUCGGUGAAUGGGUUGGCUUCCGGCCAACCCAGUGCCGCAGGGAAGCCGUUAAGUCUGCCGCCUGGGGAGUACGGUCGCAAGACUGAAACUUAA
rnacentral:rRNA from 1 species